rnacentral:lncRNA from 1 species
CCAACAGAGUGCGUCAUCGAGUAAAUCUCUUCAAAUUACCUGACAACAAUUUUCGAUAUCAAUAUCGAUUUACGUUUUUCGAAAUAAUAAUCAAUUGAAUGCAUGAUGAUAAUCCAUGACAAUCCAGGAUGUUCCUAUGAUGCUCAACUGGGCUCGCCAUAAAAUUCAAGACUAUUUUGGCGUUUUGCACGCCGUAUCUUUGCCAGUAAUAUGCAAUGUUUGUAAAAGACUGGAAGCUUGCUAAAAUGUACAAGAAUGCCAAGAUGAGCAAGGGAAUAAGAUUGUGUGAUGAAGAACAGUGUCCAACAUGUAUCAGUGCGUUUGACUGUAUGAAUAGACAUCGGAAUAAAAUAUAAUUUUCUACUUU